rnacentral:tmRNA from 1 species
GGGGAUGCAAUGGUUUCGACAUAAUACUAGAAAAAUAAAUAGCAAGUAGUGGAUUCUCGUUGGCCACUUAAAAAAACGGGAAAAUAAAAUAAACGCAGAAAAUAAUAAUGAGUAUGCUUUAGCUGCUUAAGUUGCAGCUACACUUAUCUAGAAGUGCCUACGCUUCUAGACAAAGUGAUUAUCUAGUAGGAAACAAAGCUACUUUUUCUUUUGGAGUAGUGGGUAAAAUAAAAAGAUAUCGUUUCUAGUAACCUGUUUUUCGGUGACUAGAAAAGGAAGAAAAAAGAAAAAACUAAACUUGUAGAAAUUUAUUUGGAAGGUAUUGUGGACAGGAGUUCGACUCUCCUCAUCUCCACCA